UUUACCUCAAGUACAAAGGUGUCAUCCCAGUGCCUUGACUACUUGGAUCCAGAAAAAUUGAUUGUGCACUAUACAACAUUUUCGAUCAGAAAACUGGAUUCCAGUGUCAAGCACUGGAAUGACAUCAGGAAGUGCGUUGUUA
rnacentral:ncRNA from 1 species